CCGUAGCCGAAAACCUCAAAGGCUCAAACACGUCUCUCUGUCACUCUCGCUCGCUCCCACCUAUUUUCUGGUAAUUUUGAGAAAAUCGAAACUGGCGAAUCCGCAAGCGCACGCAUCUACUUCGAGCAGUCAGUCAUGGAUACUGGCAGCCGGCUCUCUUCUCCUUCUCAUCCUAGUUGCCGCUCACGUCCUGGCUCUGGUUUACUGGGUUUUUCGCCUUGCAACCGAGAAGCAAUCUCAAAGAACUAAGCGACACUAGUUCCCUGGAAGGAGCAAUUCACUUCAUUUCAUUCCCUUGCGACUAUUACGGGAUACUAUCUUCAUUCAACAACUAUCCCAGAUCGUAUGGAGACUUCAUUUUUACCAGAGGCAAUAGGAAUGUAUCUCCUCCUCUCUUGAAUGCUUUCAUGUAUAUUUAUCUACUCCACUAUUAGUUUUCCCUUUAAUAUUUAGGUGGAACUUGUGUCUCUGGUUCAUGUGUUCAACAAUUCAUUCUUAACCACCCUAAAAAUGUUUGUUUUCGUCUGAUUUGUCCCAAAUGAAGUGGCUUCAUCUGAUUUGAUUCCGAAUUUUUA